rnacentral:rRNA from 1 species
UACGUAGGGUGCGAGCGUUGCCCGGAUUUAUUGGGCGUAAAGGGCGCGUAGGCGGCCAUUCAAGUGACGGGUGAAAGCCCUCGGCUUAACCGAGGAACUGCCUGUCAGACUGGAUGGCUUGAGACCGGGAGAGGUGAGUGGAAUUCCCAGUGUAGCGGUGAAAUGCGUAGAUAUUGGGAGGAACACCAGUGGCGAAGGCGGCUCACUGGACCGGAACUGACGCUGAGGCGCGAAAGCGUGGGGAGCAAACAGG